rnacentral:rRNA from 1 species
GUUGUCCGGAAUUAUUGGGCGUAAAGAGCUCGUAGGCGGUCUGUUGCGUCCGCUGUGAAAACUCGGGGCUUAACCCCGGGCCUGCAUUCGAUACGGGCAGACUAGAGUUCGGUAGGGGAGUCUGGAAUUCCUGGUGUAGCGGUGAAAUGCGCAGAUAUCAGGAGGAACACCGGUGGCGAAGGCGGGACUCUGGGCCGAUACUGACGCUGAGGAGCGAAAGCGUGGGGAGCAAACAGG